AGCUCACAAAAUAGAGCAUCCCGAUUUUUAAUCGGGACGGCAAAGGUUCGAAUCCUUUCGCGC
rnacentral:tRNA from 1 species